rnacentral:rRNA from 1 species
GACGAACGCUGGCGGCGUGCUUAACACAUGCAAGUCGAGCGGUAAGGCCCUUUCGGGGGUACGACGAGCGGCGAACGGGUGAGUAACACGUGGGUGGCCUGCCCUCCAGCUCUGGGAUAAGCCUGGGAAACCGGGUCUAAUACUGGAUAUGACUCCAUGACGCAUGUUGUGGGGUGGAAAGCCUUGUGCGGCUGAGGAUGGGCCCGCGGCCUAUCAGCUUGUUGGUGGGGUGANGGCCUACCAAGGCGACGACGGGUAGCCGGCCUGAGAGGGCGACCGGCCACACUGGGACUGAGACACGGCCCAGACUCCUACGGGAGGCAGCAGUGGGGAAUCUUGCGCAAUGGGCGAGAGCCUGACGCAGCGACGCCGCGUGAGGGAUGACGGCCU